AUGCAAGGCCAUCUAGCCCAGAACCACAUGCACUGGUCAUUCUUCAUCUCUUUACUAAAAAAAACUAUGCAUAUUGUACAGGGUGCCAGAGCUUGCCGCCGACAUGCAUGGUGCCCACAGCGGAGCAUUACUUCCGCGGCGGCCGUGGUGUACUGCCGGGCAGAUGCUGCGGGGCUCUGCCUGCCGUGCGACGGCCACAUCCAUGGCGAAAACAUGGUCUCCGGCUGCCGAAGCCACGCCUCCCCGGACCCCGGCGUCCCCGCUCAGGGUCGCCUACCGCAUCGUCGUGACCUCCUUUCGGAGGGGCACCGCUUGGUGUCUCUGGUCGAACUGCGACUACGAAGAGCAGCAGCAUUGGAGGCUGUUGCAGCCGCCGUGAAACGGUGGAGGGGUACACCGGGUGCCUCUCGGCAGGAGAGCUCACGGCGAUCCUCGGCGUAG
rnacentral:rRNA from 1 species